UAAGUCAUGCUGCUUCUCCAUCAGCAGCCGGAGUCUGAGAGAGAGAGAGAGAGAGAGAGAGAGAGAGUACAGAAGGUCAUGCUGUUUCUCCAUCAGCAGCCGGAGUCUGAGAGAGAGAGAGAGAGUACAGUAAAUCAUGCUGCUGUUUCUCCAUCAGCAGCCGGAGUCUGAGAGAGAGAGAGAGAGAGAGAGAGAGAGUACAGUAGAUCAUGCUGUUUCUCCAUCAGCAGCCGGAGUCUGAGAGAGAGAGUACAGUAGGUCAUGAUGCUGUUUUUCCAUCAGCAGCCGGAGUCUGAGAGAGAGAGAGAGAGAGAGAGAGAGAGAGAGA